rnacentral:lncRNA from 1 species
CAAGUAUCUGAUCUGAAGGCAAUACACUCCAACCCCAAAGCCUAGUAUCAUUUUCUUUUUUUUUUUUUGUAGUUUAUGUAAAAAUUUAUUUGACCAAAAUGUAGAAAAAGUGAUACUAUUACAUAUGAUACAGUUGCAAGAAUCUAAAGUAAAGUGUGGAUUUUAUUCCAUUGCACAAUUUGCUAGUGUAUUUCCUGGGUAGUGUGGUGCUGAAUAAAUAGGAGUGGGGUGGUGAGGUGGGGUGGGUAAGGGAUUCAGAUAAGCCAGAAGCAGGGUGAUUUUUAGUCGGAAUUGCAAACUUUAGUCGGCCCCCACACGCUGCUGGGGAAUGUGGAAUGUUCCAGCUCUGAGAUGUUAACUGAGAAAAGAGAAGUCAAACAAAGCCGAUUUCCAGCAAAGCGAAGAUGGCAAUAACAAAAGGAACUUCUUACAAGAGAAGAGAAAGAC